GAUGAACGCUGGCGGCGUGCUUAACACAUGCAAGUCGAACGAAGCACUUUAUUUGAUUUCUUCGGAAUGAAGAUUUUGUGACUGAGUGGCGGACGGGUGAGUAACGCGUGGGUAACCUGCCUCAUACAGGGGGAUAACAGUUGGAAACGACUGCUAAUACCGCAUAAGCGCACAGGGUCGCAUGACCUGGUGUGAAAAACUCCGGUGGUAUGAGAUGGACCCGCGUCUGAUUAGCCAGUUGGUGGGGUAACGGCCUACCAAAGCGACGAUCAGUAGCCGACCUGAGAGGGUGACCGGCCACAUUGGGACUGAGACACGGCCCAAACUCCUACGGGAGGCAGCAGUGGGGAAUAUUGCACAAUGGGGGAAACCCUGAUGCAGCGACGCCGCGUGAGCGAAGAAGUAUUUCGGUAUGUAAAGCUCUAUCAGCAGGGAAGAAGAA
rnacentral:rRNA from 1 species